UACCUGAUCGCCGUCGUUCCCCCGGCGGCGAUCAGCGUGGCUCCGGUUGUGGGGAGACUGCCUGCAGCCCAGGCAGUCUCCCCACGGCAGAUUAGGACCCCUGUGGCCAUGUGAUCGCUUAACAGAGCGAUCACAUGGUCACAAUAGGUGUCCAUGUGUCUGCCUGCAGGGGGACUGUCUGUGCUGACAGGCAGUCUCCCUGCAUGUGUAAAAUCAAAAAAUAAAUUAAAGUUAGUGUUAAUAAAAAAAAAAA